rnacentral:tRNA from 1 species
GAGGGUACGGCUCAGUGGUAGAGUGUCUGCUUAGCACGCACGAGGUCCUGGUUCAAUCCCCAGUACCUCCA